CAAUCUCUCACAUGGACGGUGACUUUAUGCGGUGACUUAAAUAAUUCAAUUUGAUACCCCAUAAAUGUGAUGCUUGAUAUCAUUUUGUGGUUGUUUCCCUGACUUCUUAUGUGAGUGAUUUCUGCAUCUCAUUUUGUUCUCAAUAAGGAGAAGCAAGGAUCAAAUUGCCAAGCGAGAAUAAAAGCAAACAUUAGACUUUUUCAUUAGAGCUGUUGGAUUGAAAUACUAACUUUACAAAUUCGGCCUGCUUUAUAAUAUAUAAAAAUGCAAAAUAUGUAAACAUCAGAUGAAAAAAAUAAGUGUAACUAAAUAGUUGAUAGUGUCAACGAGGAACCUACGGACGGAUUUGAUUUCACCCAUUUCUGGUUUUCAUUUUUCAUUCAUUCAGUAAGAAACAUAUUAUUUCCCGGCUGUAAUCAAGAUAACUUGCAAAUUUUGUAAUUAUGACUCAAAAGGUGCAAUUUAACAAUUUACUACAUCAGCGCAUUACAAUUUAGUCAUCGGUUAUCUAACUGUAAAGCGAGUAAAAUGGAGGGCACUUUCCAUUUGUUGCUCUCUGUUGGAGAUAGAGU